GAUGAACGCUGGCGGCGUGCCUAAUACAUGCAAGUCGAGCGAAUGGAUUAAGAGCUUGCUCUUAUGAAGUUAGCGGCGGACGGGUGAGUAACACGUGGGUAACCUGCCCAUAAGACUGGGAUAACUCCGGGAAACCGGGGCUAAUACCGGAUAACAUUUUGAACCGCAUGGUUCGAAAUUGAAAGGCGGCUUCGGCUGUCACUUAUGGAUGGACCCGCGUCGCAUUAGCUAGUUGGUGAGGUAACGGCUCACCAAGGCAACGAUGCGUAGCCGACCUGAGAGGGUGAUCGGCCACACUGGGACUGAGACACGGCCCAGACUCCUACGGGAGGAAGCAGUAGGGAAUCUUCCGCAAUGGACGAAAGUCUGACGGAGCAACGCCGCGUGAGUGACGAAGGCUUUCGGGUCGUAAAACUCUGUUGUUAGGGAAGAACAAGUGCUAGUUGAAUAAGCUGACACCUUGACGGUACCUAACCAGAAAGCCACGGCUAACUACGUGCCAGCCGCCGCAGUAA
rnacentral:rRNA from 1 species